ACGUAGGGUGCAAGCGUUGUCCGGAUUUACUGGGCGUAAAGAGCGCGUAGGCGGUCUGUUAAGUGUAGAGUGAAAUCUCCAGGGCUCAACCCGGAAACUGCUCUGCAUACUGGCAGACUGGAGGGUCGAAGAGGUAUGUGGAAUUCCCGGUGUAGCGGUGAAAUGCGUUGAUAUCGGGAGGAACACCCAUGGCGAAGGCAGCAUACUGGUCGACAUCUGACGCUGAGGCGCGAAAGCGUGGGUAGCAAACAGGAUUAGAUACCCUGGUAGUCCACGCCCUAAACGAUGGAUACUAGGCGUAAGGGGUAUCGACCCCCCUUGUGCCGCAGCUAACGCACUAAGUAUCCCGCCUGGGGACUACGGCCGCAAGGUUG
rnacentral:rRNA from 1 species